UUUCCGUAGGUGAACCUGCGGAAGGAUCAUUAAAGAAUCGCCCCGUUUUUUAUACAUGGGUUCUAUUCCCAAACCGUGUAUACAUACCUUUGUUGCUUUGGCAGGCCGCCUCCGGGCGUCGGCUCCGGCUGAUAGUGCCUGCCAGAGGACCCAAACUCUGUGUUUAGUGAUGUCUGAGUACUAUAUAAUAGUUAAAACUUUCAACAACGGAUCUCUUGGUUCUG
rnacentral:misc_RNA from 1 species